UACGUAGGGUGCAAAGCGUUUGUCCGGAAUUAUUGGGCGUAAAGAGCUCGUAGGCGGGUUUGUUGCGUCGGGCUGUGAAAUCCCGAGGCUCAACCUCGGGUCUGCAGUCGAUACGAGCAAACUAGAGUGUUGCAGGGGAGACUGGAAUUCCUGGUGUAGCGGUGAAAUGACGCAGAUAUCAGGAAGAACACCCGUGGCGAAGGCGGCUCUCUGGGACGGUACUGACGGCUGAGACGCGAAAGCGUGGGGAGCGAACAGG
rnacentral:rRNA from 1 species